CGUCUCCUUUCUCUCCCUCUCUCUUUCCGUCAUUUUGUUUUCCGUCUUCAUUUCUCUCUUAUCGUUUUUUUUGUGUCCUAGAUCUAGGUUUUCUGUGUCUCUCCUCAUUCUCUUUGAGAGAUUCACUCGGUUCCAUUUCGAUUACUUGUUCAGAUCUAAUUCUAAAUCCAUUGAUUAUUCUUGAAUCGAUUUGGUUGAAAUUUCUUGACGGUUUUUUGUUUUUCUUGAUUCUGAUUCUGGUAAUUUUGCAGAGGAAGAUAGACCAGUUGGGUGAAGAAUGAUCGGGAUCGAGACAGGGACCGGGACCGAGAUCGGUCGAGUCGGAGCAAGAGGAGGAGAGGAGAUAGGUUGAUUCACGGGAGUAAUAGAGAAGAUGGUGGUGAGGACAGUUCAGAGGAGAGCAUGAAUGAUGACGAUGACGAUGACGAUGGAGUCGCCGCCACCGCCAGCGGUGGUGGUGCGGUGAGGAUGUUGCCGCCUAAUCCAACGGCGUCGAUGGCGACUUCAUUGCUUAACCACCACCCUCAGCAACGGAAGAGCUUUCCUCUGCAACUACAAAAUCGUUCUCACCAUGACCUGGCUGGAAACCAGCUGAUGAAAUGAUAGGCUUUUCUGUUCCCAGAAAACUAGAACAGGUGUGGAUUAGACUGUUCUGUAUCGCCUAUUUUGUAUUGAGAGAUUGGGAAAUUUUGCUAGUCUGUUGUUGUUGUUGUUUUUUUUUUUUUUUUUAACUAUUAUUUUUUAUUUUAUUUUAUAAAUUGGUAUAGCGGUAUAGAGGCAUCUUGAUAAGUGAAUUUAUCAUUCACUAACGGAAUCUUCUUUAACCUGUCAUGAUCACUAAUUUUCUGAACCAUUGGAUUAGUAUGGUUUUUGGACUAAUUUGAUUUAACCUGUGUAUUUAUCCUUUCCAGCAAGGUUUCUCUUCAAUUAAUUGUCAAUGUGUAAAUUUUAAACUCGGCCAUCCUCAUUUCAUGUCUUUUGCUUGUUUCUGCUAUAAAUUUGAGAUCGUUACAAGCUUUGAGGCUUAAUUUGCAGAAGAAGAGCAUGGAAUCUAUGUUAGUUAGUGAAAGGUUUUAUGUGUAUCGGAUCUCUUUUAACCUCCCAUCUGUAGCUUUAUUCCUUGAAAACCCAUGUUUAUUGUUUUGGAUGCAUUAAUUUUUGUCAAAGAAUCUCAAGUUAGUCCAUAAAAGGCUCUUUUUGGUACGUUCAGUUAGUUUAUAAAAGCCUCUUUUGCUUGCUGUCACCACAAUAGUCUUCUUUUGGUACUUCCUUUAACUUUAUAUGAGGCUUCUUUUGUAUUGCUGAGUGGCUGGUUUAGAUUGCUAACUGAGGAUUUAUUUUUCUUUUCCAAGAAUCAAUUGAAUGUUCUUUUUGAUGUUGCUAAUAUAUUGUCUUUUCUUGGCAUGAUUUUCAUGAUUUAUUAUAUGGGUGUGCAAUUUUAUGGCAGAAAUUAAAAGUAUAACCAAGAAUUUGCUAUUUCUUUCUUCAUGUAAGUUAUAUAUUAACAUUGUUGAUUUUCCCUUUUGAGUACCCAACCUCUCCACUAGGAAAAGAACAUCAAGAUCUAGUUUCUUUUUUGUUUUUGUUUUUUUGGUUUACUCAUUUUUAUUUGCUUGGAAAGAACAUACAAUUAUGUUUCCACGGUUGGUCUAAUUGAAAUCUGCCUAUGUUCUACUAAUUGUUUGGGGAAAUCUGCUGUGUAUGGCAAUGCUGACAAGAGAGCAAACAUAUCUGGAGGGACAAGGCCUCCAACAAUAUCUGCACUACUCAGGUAGAACACCCUGUGACUGAGUGGAUAGCUGAAAUAAAUCUGCCAGCAGUACAGGUUGCAGUGGGAAACGGGGAUUCCUCUCUGGCAAAUUCCUGGUUUCUAGAUCUAUAGGUGAUGUGUAUAUGAAAGAUGUCCAGUUCAACAGGGAACCACUCAAUGCGAAGUACAGACUUUCUGAUCUUAAGAAGAUUGACAAGAAGGUCCGACGCCAUUUUCAUGACGAUAUAGCUGUGCGUGUAACAAGUGAGGAUCCAGAUGAUGGUUUUAAGCCUACUAGUGGGAAAGUACAGUCAUUGGAAUUUUUACAGGAGCUGAGUUUUAAAAGCAAGCCAAAUGUGUGGGCAUACUUUUCUGUUAAGUCUGAAGGAGGCAUUCAUGAAUUUUUAGAUUCUCAAUUUGGUCAUAUUUUUGCCUUUGGAGGGUCCUGAGCCCUAGCAAUACACCAUCGAUCUAUUACACACUGAUAUGGUGAGGGGUGGGCCAGGAAGCCAGAGUUUGCAGAUGAAUCAGUCAGAGAUCAGGGCAGAGAUACACACUCGUGAUGGAGGUUUAUUGUCUUGGCCUAAGUUCUGUAACAAAUGUAAGGAAUUGAAGUGGAUGCAUCUACUGACAUUGCACGUCAGCAAUAUAAAUACUAUACUACUGUAGCACGUAGCAAUAUGAAUUGAAUUGUUUUUUUUUGGAUAUAUUCCGUGUCUAAUUUAGUCGAUGAUGGUUGAUUGUUGAUUGUUGCACGUGGAUUGUUUUUUUGGGAUAUAUUGUGUGUAGUAAACAUCUCAAGAAAUGUGCAAUUAAUUUGGUUCAUAGA